rnacentral:rRNA from 1 species
UACGUAGGGGGCAAGCGUUGUCCGGAAUCAUUGGGCGUAAAGCGCGUGUAGGCGGCUUGGUAAGUCCGCUCUGAAAGCCCGGGGCUCAACCCCGGGAGGCGGGUGGAUACUGUCAAGCUCGAGUCCGGAAGAGGCGAGUGGAAUUCCUGGUGUAGCGGUGAAAUGCGCAGAUAUCGGGAAGAACACCCGUGGCGAAGGCGGCUCUCUGGGACGGUACUGACGCUGAGACGCGAAAGCGUGGGGAGCGAACAGG